rnacentral:rRNA from 1 species
UACGGAGGGUGCAAGCGUUAUCCGGAUUCACUGGGUUUAAAGGGUGCGUAGGUGGGUUGGUAAGUCAGUGGUGAAAUCUCCGAGCUUAACUUGGAAACUGCCAUUGAUACUAUCAGUCUUGAAUAUUGUGGAGGUCAGCGGAAUAUGUCAUGUAGCGGUGAAAUGCUUAGAGAUGACAUAGAACACCAAUUGCGAAGGCAGCUGGCUACACAUAUAUUGACACUGAGACACGAAAGCGUGGGGAUCAAACAGG